GAAUUCGCCCUUAGAGUUUGAUCCUGGCUCAGGACGAACGCUGGCGGCGUGCCUAACACAUGCAAGUCGAGCGAGGAAUGUCGGAUAGCUUGCUAUUUGAUAUUUCUAGCGGCGGACGGGUGAGUAACGCGUGAGCAACCUGCCUUUAUCAGGGGGAUAACGCAUCGAAAGAUGUGCUAAUACCGCGUAAGACCACAGCCUCACAUGGGGCAGGGGUCAAAGGAGCAAUCCGGAUAAAGAUGGGCUCGCGUCCGAUUAGCUAGUUGGUGAGAUAACAGCCCACCAAGGCGACGAUCGGUAGCCGACCUGAGAGGGUGAUCGGCCACAUUGGAACUGAGAGACGGUCCAGACUCCUACGGGAGGCAGCAGUGGGGAAUAUUGGGCAAUGGGCGAAAGCCUGACCCAGCAACGCCGCGUGAGGGAAGAAGGGUUUCGGCUCGUAAACCUCUGUCCUAUGGGACGAAGGAAGUGACGGUACCAUAGGAGGAAGCCCCGGCUAACUACGUGCCAGCAGCCGCGGUAAUACGUAGGGGGCGAGCGUUGUCCGGAAUGAUUGGGCGUAAAGGGCGCGUAGGCGGCCUGCUAAGUCUGAAGUGAAAGUCCUGCUUUCAAGGUGGGAAGUGCUUUGGAUACUGGUGGGCUGGAGUGCAGGAGAGGAAAGCGGAAUUACCGGUGUAGCGGUGAAAUGCGUAGAGAUCGGUAGGAACACCAGUGGCGAAGGCGGCUUUCUGGACUGAAACUGACGCUGAGGCGCGAAAGCGUGGGGAGCAAACAGGAUUAGAUACCCUGGUAGUCCACGCGGUAAACGAUGAA
rnacentral:rRNA from 1 species